AGGGGGUAGAGAAGAGGACAGGCUCAGCAGAGUGCACGUGAGACUGCGUGGGGUGAGAUGAUGAACACGUUUGCAGGCAAUAAUCUGUAAGCAGCGUGUGCAGGCAGGGAAGUGCACCGCAUGAGCAUGUGAGCCUGGUGAUCGUGGACGAGUUCUUCUGGGACUGAAGGGAAGCUGAUAAACAUGGAUGCACGUGAGGACAACCACCCGAGAAAAUAGCACAUAAUUAUUUCCCUGAAGCAAGUGUUUUUUGUUUGGAAACCUUAGCAAAUAACCUCUGGCACACAAACAAGUGUGUGCAUGUCAAGCUGCUUGAGCAACUGGCAGACACGCUGACUGCUGGGUGGAUACUUUCCAUUGCAAAACAAACAUCUGGGAUGUUGUUUGCAUGGGGAACGACAUGCAAACACUGUCGUUGCUAUUUGAAGAGCUUGUGACGGCCUCUCUCUGUGCAGCUCUCAACAACAGACAGCGCACUGAACCCGGGCGGCUUGACUCAUCACCGACUGCCUUACUUCAGACGUCUGCUGGCAGACGCUCGAUACUGCGCCGAGAGCUCCAACGGCAUAACUCGUUGCCUAGCGACCACACGACGCUUCGGGAAGAGAAAGCCUGGGUGCAUCGUGAGGACGUUUCCGGCCUUCCACUGGGUUCCAGCCGAACGGAGGCUCCAACCUGCACAGCCCUAUACAAACGUAGGAAAACGCUAACCUUUAUCUGUUCCUGAUUUGGGUUGAUGUCAUUAAUAGCUUGAUGAUUUUAAAUUAGUCACUCUUUAGCAUAUCGAUCGUAGUCCAAACUACCGAUUCAUUGUGUUAGAUCGUCCGCUAACUGUCCUCCUUCACCAUAUACCUCUUCC
ensembl:lncRNA